UACAGAGGGGGCAAGCGUUGUUCGGAAUUACUGGGCGUAAAGGGCGCGUAGGCGGCCUUCUAAGUCGAACGUGAAAUCCCUCGGCUUAACCGGGGAACUGCGUCUGAUACUGGAUGGCUUGAGUGUGGGAGAGGAAAGCGGAAUUUCUGGUGUAGCAGUGAAAUGCGUAGAUAUCAGAAGGAACAUCAGUGGCGAAGGCGGGUCUCUGGGCCGAUACUGACGCUGAGGAGCGAAAGCGUGGGGAGCGAACAGG
rnacentral:rRNA from 1 species